AGAAUCAACGCUGGCGGCGUGCCUAACACAUGCAAGUCGCACGAGAAAGGGGAGCAAUCCCUGAGUACAGUGGCGCACGGGUGAGUAACACGUGAAUAAUCUACCUCCGAGUGGGGAAUAACUGAGAGAAAUCUUAGCUAAUACCGCAUAACACUUACGAGUCAAAGCAGCAAUGCGCUUGGAGAGGAGUUCGCGGCCGAUUAGCUAGUUGGCGGGGUAAUGGCCACCAAGGCGAUGAUCGGUA
rnacentral:rRNA from 1 species